AAGUACCCUAAAUCCUUGUCUUUCUUGAUUCUUGGGGCCUAACAGGAAUACUGACAUUAAAAGAAAAAGAACUCAAAAAAGGAUGCUGACAUUUCAGAAUUCUUAUAUAGCCAAAACUCAUCUAUGACUGCCAGCACUUCAGUGAUAUCCCCCACAAACAGUGGCAGUUCCUCAGAUACGCUGGGGCAGAAAUCAAAGACAGCCCGCACCAGGGAGCCUGUCUCCAUCUUUGGAAUCUGCAAUAAAGAGAUACAAAAUCCAGA